AGUCAGACAAAUUAGAGCUUUUUUACCAUCUGUUUUUGGAAAAUGCCACACCCCUUUUAUGGAGUUGAGGGAACGUCUGGGAUUAUCAUUUAUAGCCAACCAAAGCAUCAAUUUUUCCAGUCAGCAGAAAGUUAAUAAAUGCAAUGUUCAAACUGGUCUUGUGAAACUUGGUUUUGUGAUGUUGCCUAGCAAAGCAGAUCCUGACUAACGCAGUUUAAAAGCCUGACGUGCCACAUAAUGCAUGAAGUGAUAUAUAUAAACCAGGAAGCAAUCCAAAGGAAGCAGCACAUUUUAGCCCUGCUACAGCCCAUCCACGAGAACACGGAUGGAGAAAACAAGUGCUGGCUGCUUUUGCCAGCAAAUGACUUCUUCCCUAUCCAGUGUUUUUCUGAAGAGAGACCACAUGAGAGAUCUCAGAAGAUACCUGGUACUCAAAUAUAUUCAGUACUUAGUCCUGCCCUCUUCAAAUACUCUCAUCACUCUUUUGGGACUUUUGGGCAGUCUGUAUACAAUACUCAUUCUGAAGUCUCCAAGCAUAUCAUACAAGUCCACUGCUGUUUUUAUUUCAUAUAUAGCAAAAGCAGACAUACUGGUUUUUGUUAGCAUUGUUUCCGAGAUGAUCAUGGAGCCAUUUGAUGUUAAAAUCGUAUCUGCAGCCUUUACAACAGCCCUGUUGCAGAAUUUCCUGACUGCAAAUACACAUAUUUGCUGCCUGCUGCUAAGCUGUGUUACUUGUGAGGCCCUUUUAAUCCGCAUAUUUUCAGUCAAGUCGCGCCAUAUAAGGACUGUGAAAUAUGCCAGACGGACAUCUAAUAUGAUCUACAUUGUAGUAAUUGCAGAAUGCAUCAUUUUCCAGAUAGAGGACAUCCAGGAACCUUUUGGCCUCAACAGUCAAUAUAUUUUGUUGCUCCACUUCUGUUACGGAGCAUCAUCUCUUCUCAGGUCUCUUAGUUAUUCCAUAGGCUUGUCUUUAAGGAUAAUCAAUGUAUAUAUUUACUACAAAAUAUUUUUUAACGUGUCUAACAGGUCUAGGCUAAAGACAAAGUAAUGUACCUCCUAGAAGAAACAAGUACUCUGUAGCCCAAUACAGAGUAUAUGGAAAAUGCUAUUUUAAAGUGAUGGUUUGAAUUACGUAUACAUAAGACAGGCAAUCCACGAUCAAGGCUGAUUGUUUUAUGACUAGGUAUUUAAGAUUGUCACGCGGAGCUGGUAAAUGAUGAAAUGUGCUUCAGAGCUGAGGCAAAGCAAAACUAACUGGAGGGUGCUGUCAGCAGCCUCAGCACAAGAUUUACUUGUUUGGAAAGGUGAGGUCUCAGCCAUGAAGUUAUUGAUUUUAUAGACGUGAUUUAUUACCAAUUAUAGAAUGGGUUUAAGAAAUUAAGCAAUCUGGAUAACAUUAUUCAUAUUAAAACAAUGCUUAGAGACUGAAUCAGGGAUCCAGGCUACAUCGUGCCAACUGCUAUACAAAUAUGUAGUAAAGAGCCAGUCCAUGCUGCAAAGAGUUUACAGUUCAAGUUAAUCAUGAUGCUCAACAGGUGGAUGAAACAAACAUGUAGACAAGCUGUGUGCAUGCAGUAGCUUGCCAUCUGCCUAGCCAUUAUCAACAUGCAGGGUUCUGCAAGCAGCUCACACAUGUUGUGAUAGCAUGCCAUAGCACACUACUUGCAGUUACUUUUAUAUAGUUACUUCAGCACAUUAGCAAAUAGCCCCUGAAACUUCCCCCAACUGAAAUAAAGAGAAACUGAAGGGAUAGAUUACGGCUGUCCUAAGGGGGUGCUUUCUAGUCACCCUUUCUCCGAGAGAAUUUAUGCAAGAGGCAGCCAUAAUUUGGACAGCUGUGCUCCCAGCAUGCAGUGAGGGGAAGAUGGGCUAGUGCUAUUGACAGAGUGCCAAAUCCCAGAGGACUUUGGGCAGGAAAGGACUUGGCCAUGGAUCUAUGUGUGGAAAAAGGGGGAUCCCAACAUUUAGGCACCAAAAAUUAGAAAAUUUGGCCUUUGACAUCUAUGCUUCAGUUUCCCCCAUCUGUCAAGGGGGAUAGUAAUGAUUACAUUACCUACCUCACAAGGGGGUUGUGAGACUCAAUUUUUGUGAAGUGAUUUGAAAUCCAUAAUGAUGGAAGUUGCUAUGGAAAUGAAAAGUGAGUCAGCAUAUAUUAACAGUAUCAGUUGCCCAGCUUCCAUAUAAAGCCCUCAUCUGUUGUGUUUGCCAAACUUUCCAGAUAUACACACAGCUAGAAUUCACCUACUGUGCUGCUUUAAAUUCCAGGCUCACUAUAACAAUCUACUGAUUUGAAAAGAAAUACAGUAUUCCAACACAAUGUACAGAUACGGCCAGAAUCAGCUCUCACUUUCAGUCAGCUCUAAAUUUCUUUUCUUUGGUUUACAUUAGACCCUUACAGCCAAGGUUGCACUAAGGUCUAGAGUAACUGUUUACAGAGGUAAACUUUCUCUGCAUUUAUACUGAUGUAAGUGAAAACAGGAUUUGGUUUCUUGGGACAGUUUUUCAAGGGGCCACAAUCCAGCUUCUGAAAUUCCAGGUGCUUAAAGAGACACUGUCUGUGACAGAUAUGGCAAUUUCCUGCAAUAUCUUUGGGAGAUAUUAUUUAAUUAAGUUUAAGUAUCUUUGGGGUCAUUGUAUUAAAUGCAAAAGUUAUGUAUUAUUAUGGGCUGAGAUGAUCAAAGGACUAUAUGGAACAAUACGGCAGACAAGAAUGAACUUGUGGGACAAUGCAUGUGAAGAGAAUUUCCUGGGAAUUAUCUAGGGGGAGGUGAAUGCAAAUUUUCCCUGCCUCUGGUUAUACAAAAACCCAGCCCUUUGAAGCUACUGCCUGAGGAGAGGAAGACUGUCUGCUGAUUACCUGUUCCCAAUAUCCCAAGAUUCAAGACCCAAACUAUGUAAAGGAGAGACUCACAGAUUGAUGGGUGUUCUUGUUCUGAGCAAAAGCUGUUAUGAACUUGUGACCACAGAAGAACCUUUGUGGAAUUUGAAGGACUUAAACCUGCUAGAGCAGGGGUGGGCAAACUUUUUGGCCCAAGGGCCACAUCUGGCUAUGGAAAUUGUAUGGAGGGCCAUGAAUGCUCAUGAAAUUGGGGGUUGGGUUGUGGGAGGGGGUGAGGGCUUUGGCUGGGGAUGCAGGUUCUGGGGUGGGGCUGGGGCUGGGGGGGUUGGGGGUGCAGGAGGAUGCUCAGGGCUGGGACUGAGGGGCUCGGAGGGCGGGAGGAGUAUCAGGGCUGGGGUAGGGGGUUGGGGCACGGGGAGAGGCUCAGGGGUGCAGGCUCCAGGUGGCACUUAUCUCAAGCAGCUCCCGGAAGCAGCAGCAUGUCCUCCCUCUGGCUCCUAUGCGGCGGUGCUGCCAGGCGGCUCUGUGUGCUGCCCCGUCCACAGGUGCUGCCCCUGCAGCUCCCAUUGCCGUGGAUGCAGCCCCCGGGUCGUAGUUGCCCACCUCUGUGCUAGAGCCUGGUUGGAGUUGAGGUGAUUUCUAAGUAAGCUUAUUAGCAUGCAUGUAGUUUCUUUUAUUGUUUUUUAAAUGUUUCCUCUGUAAUGCAUUCCCUUAAGGAUAAAUGUGCUUGAUUAGAAAGGAUUGUGUGGUAAAUGUGGGCAGUUAUGCUGUUUAUAACCUCUGAGGAGAAAGCAAAGUAGGCCUCCUCAGGCACUCUGACUUGCUGGGGAACUCUCAGUGUAGGCAGGGAACUGUACAGCCUGGAAAGACCCUGGUAAGCAGGGAGAGAGAUUUGGGUCUCUGCCCAAGAGAGAUGAUGGCUUAGGAGCUGCGUGCCCUUGCUGGACCAUGGAGGGGGAAUACAGGCGCAGUUUCCCUGAAGUGUGACACUGUCAGCUUGAGGGGGGAGGAGUUAAAAGCAGUUUCACUCACUACAUAUGUCUGUCAGUCCAGUGCCAAUGUCUAAGUUUUUGCAUUUUACUAUUUUAAACGUGUUCUCUGACCCUCAGUUGCUAGAUCACCACCACACAAACAAUAGGGCAAACCCACUACACAAGGGGAUACAGCAGAAUUGAGUGUACAGAAAGUACUGUCAAAUGCACUAAAGGUGUAAUUCAUCUUGUGCUGAGCACCAACACAUGACUUAUGGUGCAUGUGUCUUGUGAUGGCCCUCAGGACUGGGCUGAAUUUCACAUGCAGUAAAUGAAAAAAUAAUAGAGAAAAAUAUUUUUCCCUAAUUCUCUUUAUUUCAGAUGGAAUGGUCUUAGGUGUUAUUGAGUGGCAAUGUCUCUGAGGGAGUAGUAUGACUAAAAUGGAUGGUCGCUCUUUAGAUUUAUGUCUGAAUGCCUUUUUUUCUGCCAAGUUUUCAUGUGAUAGACUUACUUGCACGGGUAUGCCUGACUGAGUAACUCCAAAAUCAUCUUAGUGCCAUUCUCUGCCUUCCUCUUCCGUUUAUACUUGUGUCUACUUAUGAUCCUCACUUGGUUUGUCACAUCCAAUUUAGAUUGUGCACUCUGUGUCAGAGGCUGGAUCCUUAAUUGUUUGUGUGAGGUGCCAAGCACAUUUUUGGGAACUGUUCUUCCCCACACCCCCAAGUCAAACCAUGAAUGAAUGAAUAAAAUUACAGAAGUACCUGAUGGGUUAUGAGUUAUAAAGAUACCAAGCUCUUACAUACUAAUACUGAGAUUUGCAAAGCCACCCAAAUCCCUUUGGCGGCAAUGAUAGUAAAUAAGAGAGAGAAAAAUCUGUUUAAAUGCAAACGUUUGCUAAUUAGCAACAAUGUCAAAGAAUAGUGCAGAAAAUGCAAAACAGAAAUGGAGUGAAACCUGUUUGAUGUGAUGACUCAGAGAGCUCAGGGCUGGUUUUCUAGUAAAGGCAAGGCAGAAUUGUGCUCAAAUCAUUUAGAGAUUUGUUUCAAAUCAUUUAGUCAUCUCUUAAGAUAGGAGGUUGCCUAAUAAGGCUGGUUGGUCCCUUUGAUAAGUUUUACUUUGGAUCUAUUUUAUUAAUGUGAUAUGUUGUCAAAUGUUCACAUUCUGAAAGUCCUUUCUAAAUGUUACUUUAAACAGGAAUUUUUUUUUAACUGGACUUUGUUCAUGGGAAAUUAUUUGAAUGUAAAGUAUUGUAGCUAAUGUUCAGGUGAUUGUGUUUCUGCUUUUUUACAAUCCUUAAAACAUGAAGCCUCAA